ACCACUCAGGGUCCUGUGGACAGCUCACCUAGCGGCAAUGGCUGCAGGCUCCCGGACGUCCCUGCUCCUGGCUUUUGCCCUGCUCUGCCUGCCCUGGCUUCAAGAGGCUGGUGCCGUCCAAACCGUUCCCUUAUCCAGGCUUUUUGACCACGCUAUGCUCCAAGCCCAUCGCGCGCACCAGCUGGCCAUUGACACCUACCAGGAGUUUAAACCUAUAUCCCAAAGGACCAGAAGUAUUCAUUCCUGCAUGACUCCCAGACCUCCUUCUGCUUCUCAGACUCUAUUCCGACACCCUCCAACAUGGAGGAAACGCAACAGAAAUCCAAUCUAGAGCUGCUCCGCAUCUCCCUGCUGCUCAUCGAGUCGUGGCUGGAGCCCGUGCGGUUCCUCAGGAGUAUGUUCGCCAACAACCUGGUGUAUGACACCUCGGACAGCGAUGACUAUCACCUCCUAAAGGACCUAGAGGAAGGCAUCCAAACGCUGAUGGGGGCUGGAAGACGGCAGCCGCCGGACUGGGCAGAUCCUCAAGCAGACCUACAGCAAGUUUGACACAAACUCACACAACCAUGACGCACUGCUCAAGAACUACGGGCUGCUCUACUGCUUCAGGAAGGACAUGGACAAGGUCGAGACAUUCCUGCGCAUGGUGCAGUGCCGCUCUGUAGAGGGUAGCUGUGGCUUCUAGGUGCCCGCGUGGCAUCCUGUGACCGACCCCUCCCCAGUGCCUCUCCUGGCCCUGGAAGGUGCCACUCCAGUGCCCAUCAGCCUUGUCCUAAUAAAAUUAAGU
rnacentral:lncRNA from 1 species